rnacentral:lncRNA from 1 species
CUAGUUUUAUUUGAGGGAUCAAAUGCAAAAUUGCAAACUGUACAAAUAACACUAAUCUAACAAAUGAAAGAACAUUAAAUGCCUAAUAACAAAGAUCGUUAAACCUUUAGGAAAGGAAAAAAAAGUUGCACAAACCAGUCUCCCAUUGACCAAAUGAGAGACCUAGCAAAGCGAACUAAUAUGUUGCCUAACCCCCAAGCCUAAUUCAGAUUUCCUGUAGAAACAUAUUACAGUUUAGAAAACAUUUCAAGACUGAACAACUAAAUCAGAUACAGAAAGCUGCAAGUUCUAAGCAAGAUCUCAGUUAUUAUCUUCCAAUCAAUCAAAUCACUAUUCAGAUUAUAUGCUGCCAGCACCACCAACAUUAGCUCCUAAACAGACAUGUGCCUGGGAACUAGCACAACCUAGUUUUAGCUCCAGAUUAUAUGCUGCCAGCACCACCAACAUUAGCUCCUAAACAGACAUGUGCCUGGGAACUAGCACAACCUAGUUUUAGCUCCAACCUGGUUAUCUGACAGAAUCAGUUACCCGCCAAAGACAAACUUUUCAGACAAACAUUUGGUUUAUUGUUACUUGCAGUAUCUUCUGACAGACACCCCUUGUCCUCAGUGCACAGGCCUCAGUGCAAUCAGGGUCCACAACACAUAAUGCAUUAAUGAAAACCAGCAUUUCCACAUUUGUUUACCAGAUGAUUUCACCACAUUCUCAUAUCUGAACUAUCUUCACAUAUAACGAACCCCUCUCUUACAUCAAAAGUAUAUUGCAAAAGAAGGAAUACAAUUAUAUCAAGUGGGAACAGAUGGAAAAGAUCAAAAGUGGAGUUGAAUUUGCUCUUAUGUCCACUUAGAUCUAUAAGUUUCAUAUCUCUGACAAUACCAUCAAACUCAUGGUCAAAGCAUGGAUUGGAACUAGGUAGAAAAAUUGGUACAAGAAACUCAGACCAAAUAGAGUUGUGCAUGCAAUGGUCAAGGUAAUAAGAUUUUCUUUUGCGUGACGAGAAGGAAUCUUAUAGAA